UGGCGAACGGGUGAGUAACACGCGGGCAACCUGCCCAAAAGAGGGGGAUAACACUUGGAAACAGGUGCUAAUACCGCAUAACCAUAGUUACCGCAUGGUAACUAUGUAAAAGGUGGCUAUACUACCGCUUUUGGAUGGGCCCGCGGCGCAUUAGCUAGUUGGUGGGGUAAAGGCUUACCAAGGCAAUGAUGCGUAGCCGAAUUGAGAGGUUGAUCGGCCACAUUGGGACUGAGACACGGCCCAAACUCCUACGGAAGGCAGCAG
rnacentral:rRNA from 1 species